rnacentral:rRNA from 1 species
GUGGGGAAUAUUGGGCAAUGGGCGCAAGCCUGACCCAGCAACGCCGCGUGAAGGAUGAAGGCUUUCGGGUUGUAAACUUCUUUUCUCAGGGACGAAAGAAAUGACGGUACCUGAGGAAUAAGCCACGGCUAACUACGUGCCAGCAGCCGCGGUAAUACGUAGGUGGCGAGCGUUAUCCGGAUUUACUGGGUGUAAAGGGCGUGUAGGCGGGAAGGCAAGUCAGAUGUGAAAACUAUGGGCUCAACCCAUAGCCUGCAUUUGAAACUGUUUUUCUUGAGUGCUGGAGAGGCAAUCGGAAUUCCGUGUGUAGCGGUGAAAUGCGUAGAUAUACGGAGGAACACCAGUGGCGAAGGCGGAUUGCUGGACAGUAACUGACGCUGAGGCGCGAAAGCGUGGGGAGCAAACAGGAUUAGAAACCCUAGUAGUCC